AUUCCAGCUCCAAUAGCGUAUAUUAAAGUUGUUGCGGUUAAAAAGCUCGUAGUUGGAUUUCUGCUAGGGACGAUCGGUCCACCCACUGGGUGUGUAUCUGUGUCGGCCUUGGCAUCUUCCUGGCGAACGCAACUGCACUUGACUGUGUGGUGCGGUAUCCAGGACUUUUACUUUGAGGAAAUUAGAGUGUUUCAAGCAGGCGCACGCCUUGAAUACAUUAGCAUGGAAUAAUAAGAUAGGACCUGAGUUCUAUUUUGUUGGUUUCUAGAGCUGAGGUAAUGAUUAAUAGGGAUAGUUGGGGGCAUUCGUAUUUAACAGUCAGAGGUGAAAUUCUUGGAUUUGUUAAAGACGGACUACUGCGAAAGCAUUUGCCAAGGAUGUUUUCAUCA
rnacentral:rRNA from 1 species